ACGUAGGGUGCGAGCGUUAAUCGGAAUUACUGGGCGUAAAGCGUGCGCAGGCGGUUUUGUAAGACAGAUGUGAAAUCCCCGGGCUCAACCUGGGACCUGCAUUUGUGACUGCAAGGCUAGAGUACGGUAGAGGGGGAUGGAAUUCCGAGUGUAGAGGUGAAAUUCGUAGAUAUUCGGAGGAACACCAGUGGCGAAGGCGGCUCACUGGUCCAUUACUGACGCUGAGGUACGAAAGCGUGGGGAGCAAACAGGA
rnacentral:rRNA from 1 species